GCCUGGCUGGUUCAGUCAGUAGGGCAUGUGACUCUUGAUCUCAGAGUUGUGAGUUUAAGCCUCAUAUUGGGCA
rnacentral:tRNA from 1 species